GGAGAUUUAGUCUAGUGGUAUGAUUUCUGAUUUGGGUGCAGGAGGUCCCGGGUUCAAUCCCCGGAAUCCCCC